rnacentral:lncRNA from 7 species
GGGCCAUGCAGCGGAGGCGACCGUCGGGGGGUCAGGAAAGAAAGGGGCCUAAUAUGUAAUAGAAUAGUAGUGUUAAUGUUAAAUUAUUGUCUUGUGAAAUCGCAUAGAAGCGAAAGAGAGGACACACACAUUAGGCUAAAGCGUCGGUUAAAGGCCUCCUACACCGCUGCACAGAACCAGUCUCGUCCUCACUGUCAUCGCCGAUCACAUGUCACAGGCUCGCAACUCCCUGAUCUUAGAUGUUACCAAAGAAGUAUCUUUUCAUGAGAAGCAAUGGAUGUGAUGGAGUUAUAUUCUUCAUUAAGGUAAUCAUAUUACCUCUAAGAUAUAAGGGAUAGUUUGGCAACACCAUUUUACCAAGGAAUUCUUAUUUUCCUAAGGGAAAUUAGUUCAUUUUCCCUUGAAAAAAUAGGAAUUCUUUAGAAAAAUGGGGAUGUAAAACUAACCCUAAAUAUAUUGUUAUUUUGGAUGACUUUAUUUAUCGAUAAUUAUCAGACAUGUUAAAUUGAAUAUAUAUCAAUGUAUUUAUUUAUGUUUUACAAGUAAAAUUAAUAUAUAUUAUUU